rnacentral:rRNA from 1 species
UACAGAGGGGGCAAGCGUUGUUCGGAAUUACUGGGCGUAAAGGGCGCGUAGGCGGCCCGCUAAGUCGAACGUGAAAUCCCCGAGCUCAACUCGGGAACUGCGUCCGAUACUGGCGGGCUUGAAUCCGGGAGAGGGAUGCGGAAUUCCAGGUGUAGCGGUGAAAUGCGUAGAUAUCUGGAGGAACACCGGUGGCGAAGGCGGCAUCCUGGACCGGUAUUGACGCUGAUGCGCGAAAGCCAGGGGAGCAAACGGG